AUUACUGGCCGGCCCAAUGUUCCAGCCCACUCUUCAACUCCGUUUUCACCAUAGAUCGGCGGACCCUUUCUCCAAGCGAACUACAGAGAAAUUUCAGUGUGAAAAGAGAGCUUCCAUGGGACAGUGGAGAAGCAUAGUGAAGGAGGCAAUCGAUCGCACAGUUAUCAUAGCCAAAUUCCUCUGCUUGCUUCAUGUUACCAAUAACUAUAUUUGUUCUCCCACUCUCGUGUACGGACCCAGUAUGCUCCCAACCUUGAAUCUGACCGGCGAUGUUCUUUUGGCUGAGCACGUGUCGCACCGAGUGGGCAGGGUUGGCCCCGGCGACGUUGUGCUGGUUCGCUCUCCUCGGAACCCGAGGAAGAUGUUAACGAAGCGCAUUGUGGGUGUCGAGGGUGAUAAGGUUAAUUUCUAUCCGGACCCUGCCAAUUCCAACCAGUAUCAAUCGGCUGUGGUUCCUAAAGGGCAUGUGUGGAUUCAAGGAGAUAAUGUCUAUGCUUCUCGUGAUUCACGGCAUUUCGGGCCUGUACCUUACGGUCUGAUUGAAGGGAAAGCGUUUUUGAGAGUCUGGCCACCAGAUUGUUUCGGACCAUUGGAUCAAUGAACUCAGAUAUGCCUAACUUCAAAGAAAAAUGGACUUCAUUUUGUGGCUAUUCUAAAUGAGCUAUUGCUGAGACCUGACCCCAGUCCAAUAUACAUCUUUGCCAUUGAUUGUACUUCAAUAGGUGUAACUUUAUGUCUCAUUUUCUUCCCAAGGCAAUAAAUUUAGGUUUAUUUUAGAGAUUUUUAUGGAUAGCAACAAAAAAAAAAAAAAAAACUAUUUUUGGAAAAAAGGUGCACUUUGUGUACAAAUAAUUGCACCAGGAGUGUAUGAUAUACUAGUCAUAACUAAUUUUUCAUUUUGAUUUUGUUUUUCAAAGGUUAGUCUUCGUUGUGUGUAUUAAUGGAAUGGGUAUAUCUUCUUCUUC